GUGCAUCUGGAGAGCUAUAUAGGAACAUGCAAGAACUACUAACAACAUUUGCUCCUGGGAACAACUACAGAAACUGGCUUGAAGGUUCCAAAGCAUGGGAUCCUUUUCCAGGAAAUAAUCUUCAACAUUUGAAUGGCAGAUACUAAACAGAAACAGAAAUCUCCCAUCCCAGGAGUUGUUACUGAGAGUGGUGCAUUAAAAUCUCCCAGUAUGGUGGUGAGUUUGUUCGUUUGUCCUUUUAAACUAUGUGAAGUUUCAUUUAUGUAUCUGAGGCAAUCUUGUAAGCACAUUAAAUAUAAAAUCAUAUCC